UUGUACAGGUGCUGCAUGGCUGUCGUCAGCUCGUGUCGUGAGAUGUUCGGUUAAGUCCGCUAACGAGCGCAACCCUCGCUGUGUGUUACAAGUGUCACACGGAACUGCCGGUCAUAAACCGGAGGAAGGUGGGGAUGACGUCAAGUCAGCAUGGCCUUUAUAUCCUGGGCUACACACACGCUACAAUGGGAAGGGACAAUAGGUUGCGAAGCCGCGAGGCGGAGCCAAUCCAGCAAAACUUCCCUCAGUUCAGAUUGCAGGCUGCAACUCGCCUGCAUGAAGUUGGAGUUGCUAGUAAACGCAGGUCAGCCAUACUGCGUUGAAUACGUUCCCGGGGCUU
rnacentral:rRNA from 1 species